rnacentral:rRNA from 1 species
UAAGACGUAGGGUGCGAGCGUUGUCCGGAUUUAUUGGGCGUAAAGAGCUCGUAGGCGGCUUGUCGCGUCGACUGUGAAAACCCGCGGCUCAACCGCGGGCCUGCAGUCGAUACGGGCAGGCUAGAGUUCGGUAGGGGAGACUGGAAUUCCUGGUGUAGCGGUGAAAUGCGCAGAUAUCAGGAGGAACACCGAUGGCGAAGGCAGGUCUCUGGGCCGAUACUGACGCUGAGGAGCGAAAGCGUGGGGAGCGAACAGGAUUAGAUACCCUGGUAGUCCACGCUGUAAACGUUGGGCGCUAGGUGUGGGGGGCCUCUCCGGUUUCCUGUGCCGCAGCUAACGCAUUAAGCGCCCCGCCUGGGGAGUACGGCCGCAAGGCUA